AUUGAACGCUGGCGGCAUGCUUUACACAUGCAAGUCGAACGGUAACAGGCCGCAAGGGUCUGAUGAUCGGCGAACGGGUGAGUAAUUCAUCGGAACGUGCCCAGUCGUGGGGGAUAACUACUCGAAAGAGUAGCUAAUACCGCAUACGAUCUAUGGUUGAAAUCGGGGGACCGUAAGGGCUCGCGCGAUUGGAGCGGCCGAUGUCGGAGUAGUUAGUUGGUGGGGUAAAGGUUCAGCAAGCCAACGAUCUGUAGCUGGUCUGAGAGGACGAGCAGCGACACUGGGACUGAGACACGGCCCAGACUCCUAAGGGAGGCAGCAGUGGGGAAUUUUGGACAAUGGGCGCAAGCCUGAUCCAGCAAUGCCGCGUGCAGGAAGAAGGCCUUCGGGUUGUAAACUGCUUUUGUACGGAACGAAACGGCUCUGGUUAAUACCCGGGGCUAAUGACGGUACCGUAAGAAUAAGCACCGGCUAACUACGUG
rnacentral:rRNA from 1 species